rnacentral:rRNA from 1 species
UACGUAGGGGGCAAGCGUUGUCCGGAAUCAUUGGGCGUAAAGCGCGUGUAGGCGGCCCGGUAAGUCCGCUGUGAAAGUCGGGGGCUCAACCCUCGAAUGCCGGUGGAUACUGUCGGGCUAGAGUGCGGGAGAGGCGAGUGGAAUUCCUGGUGUAGCGGUGAAAUGCGCAGAUAUCAGGAGGAACACCAAUUGCGAAGGCAGCUCGCUGGAACAUAACUGACGCUGAGACGCGAAAGCGUGGGGAGCAAACAGG